GUAAAUACUAAGAUUUAGUUGUGAAAAGCUGUAUUUCCCCAAGACGACCCCAUGAGCGUGUCUCCCUUCCUGCAUGCCCUUCCUACUGUGGGAUGGCCACAUUCCUCCACGAAGAGGUGGGGUCUUCUCCAACCUGAAUGGAAAUCUAUAACUCCCUCUAGCAAUGCAAUCCAGGGGAAAUGAGGCCGAGCGACUUCUGAGGCUGGGUCACAAGAGAUCAUGGAACUUCUGCCUGACUCUCUCUCGGGACAUGGCCCUUUGGAGCCCUGAACUGCUCUGUAAGCAUUCCAGACACCCUGAAGCCACAGACCUGGACGGACCAUGUAGAGACAGAGAAGACACCCAACUGGCCCAGCAUCACAAGGCAUAGGCUCAUAUCUCCACGGAAUUCCAGCAAUGGACUCUGCAGAAGUCACCGAAUUAAUGCUCACCCCGGAAUCCUGACAAGCUAAUAUGGGUGGACAGACUCCAGAAACAACAGGGGACUUCAGCAGACACAAGUGGAUCCGAUGCUCGUGUUCACCCAUAGUUAGAUCCACCAACCUGGCAGCUCCUCAGCAGAAGCAAGUUUCCAGAGGCCUAAGCAUCUUUUAUUGUUGCUGUGGCUGCUGUGGUUGUUUAACCAUGGGAAAGUAAAACUUCUGUUCAUUCCUUCAUCCAAUGGUGGUGAAGCCCUAUAUGGGCCAGGCAUGGGGCUAGGCGCUGGGAUGCAGCUGUGAACUGAUAGAGGGUUCUGCCUUCUGCCUUCAUGCAAUGAAAAAUACCAAUGGAGCACUGAUCCGAAUAUGGCAUGAGGGCUGCGAGAGGGGACACCUGAGACCGUGAGUGGGCAGAGAAGGUGCGCCGGGCCUAGAGAUGGAUAACGGCAUCCACCGACGGGGAUUGAAGGAAUUCCCGUGUCCCAAGGUAGACUGCAUCCAGCUAUGGACCACAUGUUUAUUCCUCUCUGAAGCCUUAGGUUGAAAUCCUGACCCCCCGGUGUCCCUGAAUGACUCAGUCAGUUAUGCAUCCAAAUCUGGAUUUGGGCUCAAUUCAUGAUCUCCAGGUUGUAAGAUUGAUCCCUGCAUCGAGUCUGCUUGUCCCUAUCCCCCUGCUCCUUCCCACCCCCCCAACUCUCUUUCUUGC
rnacentral:lncRNA from 1 species